AGUGUUUAGACAUGUAGUUUCUAGAAGGAAUAGCUUACUUUCCCUUUGGGGUGUGCCAGAGCUCCAUUCUGUCCCAGAGUUUGUCCCUCUGCUCCAAGUGACCUCUUUUCUGGCUGUGCCAUGCACACAGCACUUUCUGGAUUAUCCAGUGGUGAGAUGUGAGCUUGGAGAGUGGGCUCUGGCCGCCAUAGCCAGUGUUUAGGAAGUAAUGCCAAGGGGCUUGGAGGUAAGCCUCCAGCAUCCGGCUUUCGAUGUGUGGUGGAACCACUUCUGCUUCUGACUAACGUUUGGCUUCAAUUGGAACGGGAGCCGACUCCGUGUAGGCCCACCACUUGAGGAAGAGACCAAGAAGAGAAAAGAAAGAGAAGAAACCUUGAGCUGGGCUGGAACAGUGAGCUUUCCAGGAUGAACGGAACAUGAGAGGAGGCGCUUGGAAAAUCUGGCUGAACUAUGAAGGGGUAGGGAAUCCUUGAGACUCAGAAAUAGGCCUAGCUCCCAGCAUCCCAGGCCUCUGUAGCUUCAGGAUGGAGGACAGAGCCUAUCCGGCCUGGGUCUCCUUUCCUCUAGCAACAGCACCGCGGACAGCUCCUUUCAGCACCGCGGACAGCAAUCCUGCCAGGGUCAGAGCCUCUGCUCAGCCUCUGCCUGGAAAUGGCUCUUUGGGGCAGUUGGAAUGCAGGCCCGCGAGCGACUGAAUAGAUCAAUUAUUUUUCAGAACAUGGUUUUGAUCCCGAUGUUACUUCUCAGGAUCACUGAGUGGAAAGGGCUCGCAGAGAAAAUGGCAUUUUUUAUCACCCUGGCAAAAUGCUCCCGCACUGAUGAGAUGAGGCGCCCGGCGAGCGCGCGCGCGCACAUGUGAUACAUAACUAACCAGAAGCAUAAUCUUCUAAAUUGAAAGCCAUAAUGUUUGCUGUUGGAGCUAAAUAUUAACAGGGCGUUGUCUCCCCCAACGACCCUCAGGAGACAGCUGGCUUAGCGGGAGGCUGGCGUCAUAUUCAAGCAACUUGAUUAAAUUCCUUUCUGCCAUCAGAAUUAAGAAAUGAAUAGUUUUAUGAGAGUCAUGCCACAGAGGACAGGAAAAUGAAGUGUUCAGGAAAGAGAGCAGGCGGGUUGCCUGCUCUGUGUUCCUGGAGGGAGUGCUGUCAAUCUACCUAGAAGGGGUGGGCUCAGUAUUGUGUAUGCUAGGCAGUCUUGACUCCUCUCUGGCCAUAAGAAACACUAUGGAACCUCCUUGGGAGAUCUCUCAGUUGUUUGUGGGAGAGGCAGCAAAACGUGUGGCUGAUUUCAUGGUCUCCAGAUCUAGAAUCACUGUAUUCAAAUCCCAAUGUUAUUCCUACGUAGCUGUGUGAUUGUAGGCAAAUUAUCUAACCUUUCUGUGCCAAAGCUUUUCUAGUUAUAAUAAAAUGAAU